GAUGAACGCUAGCGGCAGGCCUAACACAUGCAAGUCGAGGGGGAAGUUACUUUCGGGUAACUGAGACCGGCGUACGGGUGCGUAACGCGUAUACAAUCUGCCUUUCACUGGGGGAUAGCCCGAAGAAAUUUGGAUUAAUACCCCAUAGUAUAGUAGUGUGGCAUCACACAACUAUUAAAGCUUAGGUGGUGAGAGAUGAGUAUGCGUUCUAUUAGCUAGUUGGAGAGGUAACGGCUCCCCAAGGCGAUGAUAGAUAGGGGUUCUGAGAGGGAUGUCCCCCACACUGGUACUGAGAUACGGACCAGACUCCUACGGGAGGCAGCAGUGAGGAAUAUUGGACAAUGGUCGGAAGACUGAUCCAGCCAUGCCGCGUGCAGGAUGACGGCCUUAUGGGUUGUAAACUGCUUUUGUAAGGGAAGAAUAAGGACUACGUGUAGUUUGAUGACGGUACCUUA
rnacentral:rRNA from 1 species